CUUUCGACGAAAUCAAGUUUCUCUGGAAUUUGGUGGAGUUUAAGAUUUGAUAUCGGUGUCGUAGGAGUUAUGUGACACUUUAAGGUGGAAUAAAUCUAGCGAGGAGUUUAAGGUGCGGCAAAGGAGCGUGGAAUGUUGCAAUAGAAAUUUAUUGCAGUGUUAGUGCAUUGGUAGAUUGAUCAAAUUUACGUGUAGCGUGGGUAACCAAUGCUAAACCUUACGACGAAAAAUUAACGAAGUGGAAUAAAAAUGGCAUUGUGAUUCUUCUCGUCGUGUAUCGGUGUCACAUCAAAUUUAAGAGACAGUUUUACUUGCGGAUGCUGCGUGUUACGUUGGUGAAGUCGACGAAAGCGUAAAAUAGGAGCUCGUCCGAAAUACACUAACGCGGAAGGUUAAAUUUAACGCAAAAGGCUGAGAAAUUAGUUUAGAACUCGAAGUUUCAUUGGUACGACGCUCUUGAAACGCAUUCAAAGAGGUCGGCGACCUCGAAAGGGGAUGAACGCAACUGUUUCGUGGGAAUUUCUUAUUGUGGCUUAUUUGGAUGAAGCUGCUUUAAAAUCAGCGCUGGAUUCGUCUGUUUUUUGCCCGGAAAUCAUAAAAUGUUUAGGCCAGGCGACUCCAUGUACAGAAAAUGUUAUGUCCACUUUUUACGUCCGUAGAAUUCAACUCUUUACUACUAUGCACUUCUUCUCCAAAAAAAUAUCGCGUUUCAAUAUUAAAAAAAGUUUCAAUAAUAUACUAUCCAUUAGAAGAAUGAUAACAUGAUAACCUUACAAAUUAUUAGUAUUAACAAAUUCUUAUUGUCGUAUAGAAAUGCCAACUAUUGCUUCGGUAAAACAAACAAAGGAAUUUUACAGAUGCAGGAAUCUUAGCCUCAUGAGAAAUUGGAGAUGAAAAUGAGUGGGAAAAGAUUAAUCACUGGUCCUCCUAAAAAGAUGCAGUCCCAUGGAUGGAUGGUUG